GAUGAACGCUAGCGGCAGGCCUAAUACAUGCAAGUCGAACGAGAUUAAGAGGCUUGCUUCUUAUGAAAGUGGCGCACGGGUGCGUAACGCGUAUGCAACCUACCUUAAUCAGGGGGAUAGCCCGAAGAAAUUCGGAUUAAGACCGCAUAAAAACACAGGAUAGCAUUAUCCAAUGUUCAAAUAUUUAUAGGAUUAAGAUGGGCAUGCGUGUCAUUAGCUAGUUGGCGGGGUAACGGCCCACCAAGGCGACGAUGACUAGGGGAUCUGAGAGGAUGACCCCCCACACUGGUACUGAGACACGGACCAGACUCCUACGGGAGGCAGCAGUAAGGAAUAUUGGUCAAUGGAGGGAACUCUGAACCAGCCAUGCCGCGUGCAGGAAGACAGCCCUCUGGGUCGUAAACUGCUUUUAUUCGGGAAUAAACCUUUCUACGUGUAGGAAGCUGAAUGUACCGAAGGAAUAAGGAUCGGCUAACUCC
rnacentral:rRNA from 1 species